AUUGAACGCUGGCGGCAUGCCUUACACAUGCAAGUCGAACGGCAGCACGGGUGCUUGCACCUGGUGGCGAGUGGCGAACGGGUGAGUAAUACAUCGGAACAUGUCCUGUAGUGGGGGAUAGCCCGGCGAAAGCCGGAUUAAUACCGCAUACGAUCUACGGAUUAAAGCGGGGGACCUUCGGGCCUCGCGCUAUCGGGUUGGCCGAUGGCUGAUUAGCUAGUUGGUGGGGUAAAGGCCUACCAAGGCGACGAUCAGUAGCUGGUCUGAGAGGACGACCAGCCACACUGGGACUGAGACACGGCCCAGACUCCUACGGGAGGCAGCAGUGGGGAAUUUUGGACAAUGGGCGAAAGCCUGAUCCAGCAAUGCCGCGUGUGUGAAGAAGGCCUUCGGGUUGUAAAGCACUUUUGUCCGGAAAGAAAUCCUUGGCCCUAAUACGGUCGGGGGAUGACGGUACCGGAAGAAUAAGCACCGGCUAACUACGUG
rnacentral:rRNA from 1 species